GUUUUAAUAAUUUAAUAAAAAUAUUGGUCUUGUAAAUCAACUUGAACUAGUUUAAAAAA
rnacentral:tRNA from 1 species